ACCCCGGAAGGGGAGUGAAACAGUUCCUGAAACCGUGUGCCUACAAGUAGUUAGAGCCCGUUAAUGGGUGAUAGCGUGCCUUUUGUAGAAUGAACCGGCGAGUUACGAUUUGUUGCAAGGUUAAGCGGAAAAAGCGGAGCCGUAGCGAAAGCGAGUCUGAAUAGGGCGCAUAAGUAACAGGUCGUAGACCCGAAACCAGGUGAUCUACCCAUGUCCAGGAUGAAGGUAAGGUAAUACUUACUGGAGGUCCGAACCCACGCACGUUGAAAAGUGCGGGGAUGAGGUGUGGGUAGCGGAGAAAUUCCAAUCGAACUUGGAGAUAGCUGGUUCUCUCCGAAAUAGCUUUAGGGCUAGCCUCGAGGUAAAGAGUCAUGGAGGUAGAGCACUGUUUGGACUAGGGGCCCUUCUCGGGUUACCGAAUUCAGAUAAACUCCGAAUGCCAUGUACUUAUACUCGGGAGUCAGACUGCGAGUGAUAAGAUCCGUAGUCGAAAGGGAAACAGCCCAGACCACCAGUUAAGGUCCCCAAAUAUAUGUUAAGUGGAAAAGGAUGUGGGGUUGCUUAGACAACCAGGAUGUUGGCUUAGAAGCAGCCACCAUUGAAAGAGUGCGUAAUAGCUCACUGGUCGAGUGACCCCGCGCCGAAAAUGUACCGGGGCUAAACAUAUUACCGAAACUGUGGAUGAACCUCUUUAGAGGUUCGUGGUAGGAGAGCGUUCUAAGGGCGGUGAAGUCAGACCGGAAGGACUGGUGGAGCGCUUAGAAGUGAGAAUGCCGGUAUGAGUAGCGAAAGAAGGGUGAGAAUCCCUUCCACCGAAUAUCUAAGGUUUCCUGAGGAAGGCUCGUCCGCUCAGGGUUAGUCGGGACCUAAGCCGAGGCCGAUAGGCGUAGGCGAUGGACAACAGGUAGAGAUUCCUGUACCAGUGCUAAUUGUUUAACCGAUGGGGUGACACAGAAGGAUAGGGAAUCGCACGAAUGGAAAUGUGCGUCCAAGCAGUGAGUGUGAGAAGUAGGCAAAUCCGCUUCUCGCGAAGCAUGAGCUGUGAUGGGGAAGGAAAUUAAGUACGGAAGUUCCUGAUUUCACGCUGUCAAGAAAAGCCUCUAGGAAGAGUAGUACUGCCCGUACCGCAAACCGACACAGGUAGAUGAGGAGAGAAUCCUAAGGUGAGCGAGAGAACUCUCGUUAAGGAACUCGGCAAAAUGACCCCGUAACUUCGGGAGAAGGGGUGCUCUAUUAGGGUGCAAGCCCGAGAGAGCCGCAGUGAAUAGGCCCAGGCGACUGUUUAGCAAAAACACAGGUCUCUGCAAAACCGUAAGGUGACGUAUAGGGGCUGACGCCUGCCCGGUGCUGGAAGGUUAAGAGGAGUGCUUAGCUUCGGCGAAGGUACGAAUUGAAGCCCCAGUAAACGGCGGCCGUAACUAUAACGGUCCUAAGGUAGCGAAAUUCCUUGUCGGGUAAGUUCCGACCCGCACGAAAGGCGCAACGAUCUGGGCACUGUCUCAACGAGAGACUCGGUGAAAUUAUAGUACCUGUGAAGAUGCAGGUUACCCGCGACAGGACGGAAAGACCCCGUGGAGCUUUACUGCAACCUGAUAUGGAAUGUUUGUACCGCUUGUACAGGAUAGGUAGGAGCCGAAGAGACGUGUGCGCUAGCAUACGAGGAGGCAAUGGUGGGAUACUACCCUGGCUGUAUGACCAUUCUAACCCGCCACGCUUAGCGCGUGGGGAGACAGUGUCAGGUGGGCAGUUUGACUGGGGCGGUCGCCUCCUAAAGAGUAACGGAGGCGCCCAAAGGUUCCCUCAGAAUGGAUGGAAAUCAUUCGCAGAGUGUAAAGGCACAAGGGAGCUUGACUGCGAGACUGACAAGUCGAGCAGGGACGAAAGUCGGGCUUAGUGAUCCGGUGGUUCCGCAUGGAAGGGCCAUCGCUCAACGGAUAAAAGCUACCCCGGGGAUAACAGGCUUAUCUCCCCCAAGAGUCCACAUCGACGGGGAGGUUUGGCACCUCGAUGUCGGCUCGUCGCAUCCUGGGGCUGUAGUCGGUCCCAAGGGUUGGGCUGUUCGCCCAUUAAAGCGGCACGCGAGCUGGGUUCAGAACGUCGUGAGACAGUUCGGUCCCUAUCCGUCGCGGGCGCAGGAAAUUUGAGAGGAGCUGUCCUUAGUACGAGAGGACCGGGAUGGACACACCGCUGGUGUACCAGUUGUUCCGCCAGGAGCAUCGCUGGGUAGCUAUGUGUGGCAGGGAUAAACGCUGAAAGCAUCUAAGCGUGAAGCCCCCCUCAAGAUGAGAUUUCCCAUUUCUUCGGAAAGUAAGAUCCCUGAAAGAUGAUCAGGUAGAUAGGUUUGGAGUGGAAGUGUAGCGAUACAUGGAGCGGACAAAUACUAAUCGAUCGAGGACUUAACCAA
rnacentral:rRNA from 1 species